GACGGUAGCCAUUGAGCUUGCUUAGUGGUGAGAGUGGCGAACGGGUGAGUAACACGUGAAUAAUCUACCUCUGGGAUGGGGAUAACGUUCCGAAAGGAGCGCUAAUACCGAAUAAGAUGGUGGUUACGAAGGUAGCAGCCAUUAAAGGUGGGGACCGCGAGGCCUACCGCCUGGAGAUGAGUUCGCGGCUGAUUAGCUAGUUGGUGGGGUAAAGGCCUACCAAGGCGACGAUCAGUAGCCGGCCUGAGAGGGUGAACGGCCACAUUGGGACUGAGAUACGGCCCAGACUCCUACGGGAGGCAGCAGUUAAGAAUCUUGCGCAAUGGGGGGAACCCUGACGCAGCGACGCCGCGUGGAUGAUGAAGGCCUUCGGGUUGUAAAGUCCAGUAAGCAGGGAAGAAUAAGUGUGGGGUAAUAUUCCACAUGAUGACGGUACCUGUCUAAAGCCCCGGCUAACUACGUGCCAGCAGCCGCGGUAAUACGUAUGGGGCGAGCGUUGUUCGGAAUUAUUGGGCGUAAAGGGCGUCUAGGCGGGGGACUAAGUUAGAUGUGAAAGCUACGGGCUCAACUCGUAAACUGCAUCUAAGACUGGUUUUCUUGAGUUCGGGAGAGGAGAGCGGAAUUCCUGGUGUAGCGGUGAAAUGCGUAGAUAUCACGAAGAACACCGGUGGCGAACGCGGCUCUCUGGCCUAUGACUGACGCUGAAGCGCGAAAGCGUGGGGAGCAAACAGGAUUAGAUACCCUGGUAGUCCACGCUGUAAACGUUGUAUACUAGUGUUAGCGGCUAGUCUGCUAGUGCCGAAGCAAACGCAUUAAGUAUACCGCCUGGGGGAGUACGCCCGCAAGGUGAAACUCAAGAAAUUGACCGGG
rnacentral:rRNA from 1 species